rnacentral:misc_RNA from 1 species
GCAAACUUGGUCAUUUAGAGGAAGUAAAAGUCGUAACAAGGUUUCCGUAGGUGAACCUGCGGAAGGAUCAUUACUGAAAUGCGUGGAGAUGUUGCUGGCUUCUUGUUAGGGGGGGGCAAUGGGUGCACUCUUCCAGCUUUCACAAACCACCCCUUGUGCACCUUUUGUAGGGUCAGCCCCAGUGAUGGUGGUUUUCUAAGCCUCAGGAAGCGGGGGGAGACUCUAUGUCUUUUUUGCUACCUUUUUACACAGUGAAUGUGUAUGGUGUUGAUUGCUUAAUAACCAAAUAAAAACAACUUUCAACAAUGGAUCUCUUGGCUCUCGCAUCGAUGAAGAACGCAGC